rnacentral:rRNA from 1 species
GACGAACGCUGGCGGCGUGCCUAAUACAUGCAAGUUGAACGCUUCUUUCUUAUCGAACUUCGGUUCACCAAGAAAGAGGAGUAGCGAACGGGUGAGUAACACGUGGGUAACCUGCCCAUCAGCGGGGGAUAACACUUGGAGAUAGGUGCUAAUACCGCAUAAUGCUUUUUCUCACAUGAGAGAAAGCUGAAAGGCGCUUUUGCGUCACUGAUGGAUGGACCCGCGGUGCAUUAGCUAGUUGGUAGGGUAACGGCCUACCAAGGCAACGAUGCAUAGCCGACCUGAGAGGGUGAUCGGCCACACUGGGACUGAGACACGGCCCAGACUCCUACGGGAGGCAGCAGUAGGGAAUCUUCGGCAAUGGACGAAAGUCUGACCGAGCAACGCCGCGUGAGUGAAGAAGGUUUUCGGAUCGUAAAACUCUGUUGUUAGAGAAGAACAAGGAUGAGAGGAGAAUGUUCAUCCCUUGA